GAUGAACGCUAGCUACAGGCUUAACACAUGCAAGUCGCGGGGCAGCAUGGGGGUUGCUUGCAAUCCCCGAUGGCGACCGGCGCACGGGUGAGUAACGCGUAUCCAACCUGCCCUUCACCACGGGAUAACCCGGCGAAAGUCGGACUGAUACCGUAUGUUGUCCAUUGACGGCAUCCGAUUUGGACGAAAGGUUUGGCGGUGAAGGAUGGGGAUGCGUCCGAUUAGCUGGACGGCGGGGUGACGGCCCACCGUGGCGACGAUCGGUAGGGGUUCUGAGAGGAAGGUCCCCCACACUGGAACUGAGACACGGUCCAGACUCCUACGGGAGGCAGCAGUGAGGAAUAUUGGUCAAUGGGCGUAAGCCUGAACCAGCCAAGUAGCGUGCAGGAUGACGGCCCUAUGGGUUGUAAACUGCUUUUAUGCGGGGAUAAAGUGGCCCACGUGUGGGUUUUUGCAGGUACCGCAUGAAUAAGGACCGGCUAAUUCCGUG
rnacentral:rRNA from 1 species